rnacentral:rRNA from 1 species
GAACUGAAGAGUUUGAUCCUGGCUCAGAUUGAACGCUGGCGGCAUGCCUUACACAUGCAAGUCGAACGGUAACGCGGGGCAACCUGGCGACGAGUGGCGAACGGGUGAGUAAUGCAUCGGAACGUGCCCAACAGUGGGGGAUAGCCCGGCGAAAGCCGGAUUAAUACCGCAUACGACC